GUGAGCACCAGGGAAUAAAGGAUGGAGAAAUAUUUUGAAUUUUUCAGGACAAUAUUUAGUGUGAGUAAAUUUAGAAGGCACAAAAACUGAACAGCUGAAAUGAUCUGUGAGAAGAUAGAUAUUGUCAUGGACUGAAGACCAAGGUUACAUGGAAAGAGAAAUGGACUGGAUAAUAGUUGAAAAGAUUAGACAGCAAACAUGUUUUUCUUUUAAGAAAAGAUAAGAAGAUUGAUUGAGGUCAAAGUGCAAUGAGUCAAGGAUAGUGACAACUGGAAGAACAGGAAGCAGUUUGGCGGUGGCGGAUAGGUGAGGCACAAGGACGUCAGCACUGGAUUCAGACAAACCGGCGUGUAUUGCGCGUGUACUUUGGGUGGCCCUGUGCUGCGUCAGCUGGAAGGGAUCC
rnacentral:lncRNA from 1 species